GGGGACCCCAGCUCGCAGGAGCCGAGCUUACAGGUUGCCAGGCCUAAGGAGAGGGAGAUGACCCAGGGAUGCCAGGAGGGGCUGAGCCCUCUCAGGACAGGCCUCAGGCUUCUCUUGGAAGCAGGGGUUUGCCAUCCAGGAAGCAGGCAUGGCCCAUGCCCAUUGUGGGAGAGGGCGAGGCUGCACCACCUGCCUGCUUUCUGCCAGCACCCUUUGGCAGGCAGGCCAGGGUAGGCAGGGGCCCUUUGGGACUCUGCUGGAGGAGGUUUGGAGGUAAGGCUCUGAGGCCCCUAAAAUUUGCUCCAUGCAUCCUUAGAUAAGGGAGAGCUCCCUUGUCUGUGGUCAGAGCCAGGGUCUGCAGUUAGGGAAAGGCAGAGGAUGGCAAGGGCCAUGGCCCUCAUCUCACAGGCACGGAGGAAAAGCAGGGUCUCACCCUGGGUGACUCAGUUGGUUUUUGGCAACGAUGGCACCAGAGCCUGGGAUCCCCAUCCCCAGCCAAUGCUCUCCGAUUUUCCAAAAGGAAAUUUCCCUGUUUUUUCCCUCCUUAGAUCCAUGAAGGGUAUUUAUCAAUGGCAAGGGAUGACGUCCUGCAGGUGUAUGUGCGGCCCAUGAGCCAGCACCAUCCAGCCUCAGCGGGAAGAAGCAUUUUUCCAAGCAUCUCAAUGCUCGCAUUAGCGCUCGAUUGGCAAUUAGCAAAUGUCACAACCCCCUCCUCCCUGAGCGACAGUUGUUUCAGAUGUCAAAUUCCUGCCAAGCUCCACGUCUUGUUCUAAAACCUCUUUCCAGGGGUACUCGAGGGAAAUUAGCAUGAUGCCAGCCGAGAAGAAAACCCCUCAGAGCUUGAGAAUGGCGCGUCCUCCCGGGGAGAGAAUUCAGCCGCAGGUUCCUAUCGACAGUGAAAGAUUAAUUGGUGCAGAGUGAAUUAUGGAAAUGCGUGAGGCCGUUUCUACCGACGAUGCCUUUAAAACCGCGGUCACCCGCUGCAGCGCCAUCGCACACCAGGUCCGCAGAGGGCAGUGGAAGCCCCAGCCUCCUUUUGUCCUCCCCAAGAGGCCCCUUCCCAAAGUUAAAUGUGUUUAGAAGCUGGCAGGGGAUUGAACAGCCCUGCAAAGCAAACAACUCCAACACUAACAAUGAGGACACAGAGGGGAUGCGACUUGCCUCAGGUGACCCAUUCAGGGAGUGCAGAACCAGGAUCUGGCCCCAGUGGCCUGUCUCAGAGCUGGGUCCUUACCUGUGCCCUGCCAGGCGAGUGAUCUGAAUGGGCAGGCGGGGAGAAGUCCCAUGCCUCGAUUUCCACCAGGAAAGUGUCUUGGUUUUCUGUUCACUGAAUGCUUAUGAGCCUUUGUUCCAGCAGGCUGGAGGGCGGGGAGGGGGGCUGAGGACCAGGUGGGGAACAGUCUGUGUCUCAGAGCUGAGGCUUUCGUGGGGGAAGGGGGUUCCCAGGGGAGGUGAGGGGUGCUGGGUGCUGAUGGGAGUUCUAGGGGCAGUGCCCAGAUCCCCUGGGCUCUUGUUAAGAUAAAGUUGAGGGGUCAGAAGGUCCAGGCAGGGCCUGAGAUCUCAUGUCACUCCCAGGCUUCCAGCAAGGGAGACCCUGGUGGUGAAUUCCCAGCGGGUCUCUAAGGCAGCCAGGUGGAGAUGCCCAGGAGGCUUUGCGCUCCAGUUUGAUAUAGGGGGCAGCCCAGUCUAUUCAUGGAUGCCCCAGGCUCGGAGGCAUGGCUGUAGACAUAGGUGGGUCUGGGCUCUCGAGCAU
rnacentral:lncRNA from 1 species